rnacentral:rRNA from 1 species
UACGUAGGGACCAAGCGUUGUUCGGAUUUACUGGGCGUAAAGGGCGCGUAGGCGGCAAUUCAAGUCAGCUGUGAAAUCUCCGAGCUUAACUCGGAACGGUCAGCUGAUACUGUUUUGCUAGAGUACAGAAGGGGCAAUCGGAAUUCUUGGUGUAGCGGUGAAAUGCGUAGAUAUCAAGAGGAACACCUGAGGUGAAGACGGGUUGCUGGGCUGAUACUGACGCUGAGGCGCGAAAGCUAGGGGAGCGAAUGGG